AUAAGCCCUAACAAGGUGAGGUGUUUAUUGUGCUCCAAGGAGUUGGGGUACAAUAAUAACACCUCAUCCAUGCUAAGGCACUACUGUGCCUUGCAUGAGAAUAGGGAGGAAACUGGAGCUUCACCCAGCCAAGCCACCAGAAAACAAGAGCUGGAUGAAGCUCUAGUCUCCAUGAUAGUGAAGGAUACCCAGCCUUUCACUAUUGUGGAUGACGUUGGAUUCAGGACAUUUGUGUCUAAGCUGGAUCCCAAUUAUGUUCUCCCUACAAGGCAGGUAUGGUCCGUCCUGGUCCAGGUGAAAAAUCUGGACUCAAUGUAGCAGUGUGAUGUUAUUACACUAGAUUGUAAAGUGAGGAGCUAUUCCGUUAGGAAAUUAUAUGAGCACCGACAGCUUUUAUUUUGAAAAGACGACCAAUCCAUUUCAAAACAGUGGGUAACUUCCUGUCCCAAAAUUAUUAUCUUUAUUCAAAUUUAAUAUGUUGUGAAUAAAACUGUGAAUUAUUACCUUUAAUGUUUAACAUAUUGAGUUCAUAGAUUGUUGUUUAAAGUAUCAGUUCGAAAUUUAAAAAGAAAAGUUAUCGGGUCAUACCAUUAUAAUCUGUGAAAGGUUUUCCCACGCUCUCCGUCGCGCUCUUUCUGUUCGGAUUCCGUGGGAGAAGGCGCUGUGGAACACUGUGAAAAGAAAAGCCUGUUCUUGAUUACUAUUUUCUGCCAUUUGAAUGCAGGUAUGUGAUGUUUCAUUAUUAUUUUUGGUGGGAUUAUUUGGUUUAAUUAUUCUGUUUAAUUAUUUCUUUUCUUAUCCAUGUACUGUUUAAGAUUAUUAU